CGGCAGCUCGAACUCCAAUACCGUCACGCCCUUGGGUACACCUAUGUAUGCAUGACAAGGAGAUAAAUAUAGAGAAUGCACAUAUGAUGCAUGAUGUCAUGAUAAAGAGCCAAAGGAACACACAACAAGGUAUAAACAUGAGCAUAACUCCUAAGAUUAGGUGAAUCAUGGAAUAACAAGUAAGUGCAUACUUCUUCUCUGGUAGAGAGGCUAGCUAGACAAGUUAAUCAACCUUAGCUACUCCUACUCAGUCACUGGUUUCAUAGACAAACCAACUUGUCAUAAGUUUCAGCUAUAGCUUAAGCAUCAUUUGGCCAAACUAAGCAAGUAGAUACUUUCAAGAAAGCUUAGCAAAUUAUCUACAAUUCACUUUUAGACAUCCCAAAAUGAUUCCCAGUCGAAAUAUGUUAAAACAUACAAAGUUGGCUGGCUAUCCUAGAAAAUCCAGAGAGCAAGCACUUUGCAGCAGCUACUUGUAAUAUUCAUAACUUUUAAAUUACUCAACCAAAUGUCAUGAAACUUGGACAAGAAGUAGAUAAGCAAGUUAGCUACAAGUUUGUUGUAUACAAGUUUCCCAGAAAACAUCAUCUUCAAUUAGUUCUUAAGCAAUUGCUAUCAGCUACACAGAAUUGCUCUAGGAAAGGCAUAAAUAGCAAAAAUAAUAUUUUGCACAUAACAAGAAUGUAUCAAAGGGUCAAUCCAAAUGCACCAGUAGAUGGAACAUGUCUAAGAAACACUAGAAAACAUCAUGGCAAUGUCUAAACUCAUUUCUAUCAUCACCUUUUUCAUUUAUUUAAUUAUUAAGGUAAUUUAAUGAACAUGCAGCCCAAGUGCUCCAAGAAUUUUGAGAAACUUACAGCAAGCUACUUAUGCUAACACAAGCUUACUGUAAAAUUUUUAGGGCACUUGCACAUACAGCUUGUGAGAUACAAAAAUAACAAGCUAGCAAAGGCAUGCAAGGCAUAAAUGUGAAACCCUAACAAAAAGUGUCAAACAACAGAUUUCAGAUUUUUCCUAGCUUUGUUUACCCAUGAGUGUAACACUCAGCAAGUUUCACCACAAAAGGAGCUAUAACUUAAUUAUUAAAAAUACCACAAGAAACUCCUAUUUGAUCAAGAAUUAUUUAUAACUUCACAAUCCGGCCUCCAAAAAUCAUGAUAAAUUUAUCAGAGCUCAUAUCAUAAGUAACAACACCCUAAAUUUGCAUGGCCAACAGAUCAACAGAUCUCAAGAUAUAAUUACCUUCUAAUAAUCCAAGAUUAAAUUAUAUCUAUUUAUUUCCACAAAAACAUGGCAUGUUUCAUAUUUGUAUUAAAAACUAGACUUAUACAGGAACCUAACAAAAUUGGAAUCACAUCAUUUGGAUCUAUAAAACUCCAGAUAUGAAUUUUACAAAAACAGCAAAGAAUCUGCUACACAGUGACCAGGGAUGUGAGAGGGAGAGACUGACACACGGGACCCACACGACAGAGAGACAGAGACAGGGGAGAUGCUCGUCGCCGGCGAAACUCGACGACGGCGAGGUCUCGGUCGGAUCCAAGGGUAUCUACGUGCUCCUCUCCUCAAGGCGGACUCGGUGACCUACUUUACCCGUGCUCUACUGGACCCUAGGGUGCUCGCCGUCGGGAAUGGCGGAGCGGCGGUGCUGCGCGGCGUUACGCCGGCGAACCUAGGCAACGGCGACGCAGUGGAGGUUCACGCCGAGCAUCAGUGAGCCAAGGGAAAGCGAUAGGAACAAGAAUGGAGGGAAAUGGUGGAGCAGAGAGGCCGGGCCACGUCGCCGAUGAGCUCGGGCGGAACUCCGGCGAGGGAGAACGGCUCGGAGCUCGGCAAUGCCGCCUCACCUGUGCUCGACAGUGGCUAAGGAGGUGACGCCGAGGUAGAGGAAGCUCUGGCGAAGCUUUUGGCGGGCUGGCUUGGCCGGAGGCGCGGUGGAGCGGCCGGAAAAGCUCGCCGAGGCGCGGCGGAGCUAACCGAGGCGAUGGCAGAGCGAAAUGGGAGGCUCUGGUGGAGUGGAUGUCGCGUCUGAGGCACGGGGUGGCUCCGUGGCAGCUUGAAGGCUUCAUCCAAGCUGACAGGCGGGACCGUCGAUGGCGUACCGCCGACACCUGGCCGGACACGCGGCGGCGGACAGCGUCUGUCCAAAACUGAAUCGAUGAUUCAGUCACCGGCGUCAGUGACUGAAACCCAAAGUUUAACAACGUUUUACUCUCACCUCAAUCGAUGAUUUUGGCUCGAAUUUGAUCCUCUGGAUAGAGCUACACGAGUUCUACAAGUUUGCUUACAAGAUCAAAGCCUAACUCGGUCUGGAUUUCAAUCUACAAGGCUCCCAACAACCCUACCUCGAAACUGUGUGAUUCAAGACUUAGCCAAAUUCGGCUAAGUGUGAAAUCAGCCCUGAUUUUUGGCUUGUGAGCAACUUUCGAAUGUGUUCCAUGCUUUUUAAUGAAAAGUCAUCAACAUAACAUUUGUAGCUUAUCCAAUUUACUACAACUUUGUUUUAGGUGUCAUUUACAUGCAAGGUCUCUAACACCAGUUUCAUAAAACAUCUUUGAAAAGAGGUCUAGGGGGUCAAUUAGGUCAAUCUAGGGUUAACCAUGACUUAGGGGCAUUUUUGGCCAAAACUUUCAACUUGAACUUUGUUCAAAAUAUUGUUCUAAACAUGAUUAAAGUAUUUUGGAAGAUAAUGUACAUUUGUAAGCAUUGGUCCUCUACUAGAAUCACUCAAAUCAAGCCACACAAGUAAUUUUAAUCAUACAUGGGACACAUAAGGUGACAUGUGAUCAUGAUGUAUGCUUGUGAAUGAGCAUGAUGAUGCUUAUGUUGAUGCAAUGCUCAUGGUUAACAUGCAAGCUAACACUAGGAGUGUUACAGUAAUUAACCAAGGACCAUGUACGAUGAAGCAGGCCUUGAGUUGUUGCCAAAACAGGCCACCUCAACAAUUAUCUAAAACCAAACUUGGGCUUUCAACCACCAAUAGUAACAAAACUUCACAGCUCAAAUGAUCCCCAAGUGCCACUAGAUGCAAUCACUCAUAUAAAUGCACUUAGAAACACUCUCAAUCUCACAAAGAUGGUGAAUCUAUGAAGAAGAUGAGCGGAAGGUGUUUGCUGAGGCUCACAAGGAUGUCAAGUAUGUCAAAGUGCCAAGAGAGACAACCAUGAGCCGACUACCAUGUAUUUAUAGCCCCCUAGAAAAAUAGAGUUGUUAGGCUCUGAAAUCUACCACUAUCGAGGGCGUCGGAUGCUCCAGUGCUUAGGUGUUAGACACACCCACUCGUUCGAUGCUACUCUAUCAGCAGCUCUUGAUUGCUGUCACAUUGAUCUCCAAUGGUCACUUAAAUGUUAAAGCACUUGUGCAGGAGGCAUCGAGCGUGCUAUGUGCCAUGCAUCGAAUGCUACCAAGAGAGGUCUAAAACUACUCAGAUAUGCAUCGAAUGUGUCCGACGGUAGGCCAUCGAACACAACCAGCGUCCAACGCACACACCGCUCAAAAACCUCACUCACGGCCCUGCUAAUGUCACUGCUCACUGGACUCUCAAUUGUGUUCCAGCCGUGUCUGGUGCCAAAGUGUUGGACACGUUAGUGACCCUUGGAGACAUGCACAGUACAACCAACACUACAUCAAAUCUAGGUCCAACAUUCGAUGUUUCUGGCCUCAAUGUCUGAUGACUCUUUCUCAGCGAGAAAUGUUCCCACAACUUUGCCUCCCGUGUAGUGGAAAAAAGGCAUUUCAUUUCCAUGAAAACACUGAAUCUCGUCUCGCAAGCUUGGUGGGAGGGAGAGAGGAUCCCAAACCCCUCUCCACCUCUUAAACCCCACCUCCUUUGCAAAUGUGGCAACACCACCAUAUGGAAAACAUGAUGUGCAUAUGUGUUAGCAUUUUCACAAACAUUUUCUUCAAAGGAGUUGAGUUAGCUCACUAGGUUCUAAACGCAUACACAUGAACAAUGUCACCUAGUGGCACUGAAUAGACUACUUAGCUAAAGAAUUCCCCUCUUUAAAGUACAGCUAUUUAUCCCAAGUGUGAUCACACCCUCUAUGGUGUCUUGAUCACCAAAACCAAAACCCUAAGCAAUACCUUUGCCUUGGUCUCCAAAGGGUUUUGUUUUUCACCUUCUUCUUUCCAAAUUGAGCACUUCAUCAUCUUGUGGUGAUCACCACCAUCACCAUGAUCCUCUAGGCUCCACCACUUGGCAUGUACCAACCUCAAUUAAUCUACACGUACUUAGCAUAGAGGUUAGUACUUUAGGUUUCAUUAAUUAUCCAAAACUAAACUUGGGCUUUCACCCGGCCCCUCGUAAGUCCCACCUAAUAGGAGCGUCUAGAAUAUUCCUCCACUACCUCCUAGGGUUGCAUCUUGUCACACCCUGGCUUUUAAAAUAUGACCAGAGUCGUCAUAUGUGUGCCCAGGAAGUCCACACAUACAACAAAGAAUAGAAAUAUCAGAAAACAAUGUUAUAUAUAGCGGAAAACAUAUUUAUAUUAACACUUACAAACAUCAGAGUACGCGGAAACAGUAGCUAGAACUUUUUAGGCUCCAUUCUUCUCAGGGACGGUUGACUGGGGGCUCCGUACGCCAAGCACUUCUGAUAUACUUCUAGAAAACUCCAUAGCAUCUUUGUUCUUCUUCUGAGCAGCACUUCACUACACACUGGGGGUGUGGGGGGAUAGCAAGGGUGAGUUCAUGUCGAACUCAACAAGCACAGACGGAAAGUAAUGACAUGCAAGGCUUAAAACAAGGUAAAGCUGACUUGGUUUGACUGUGGUAGCAUUUUAGUUGAUCACUUUUAAUUAUGACUAUUAUUAGAACAACCUAUUACUAAUUAUGAGUAGCAUAAACCCAACCCUUAAUUAGUGUAAGUAGUAAUUAGCAUCUUUUUAAAUGACUAUCCUAAUAAUUAUAGAAGUCCAGGGAUUAACCCCAAUUAUUAACACAGGAUAGCAAUCCUGCCAACGCGGAAUAGUCAUUCCGCCAAAACACGAGGUAGCAACCUCGCCAAGUUCCAUCUCCAAGUAACCAGUGAAUCCAAUUUGCUCAUCAAGUGAGGGUCUGGGCCGCUCGUGACCGUGAGCACGGCUGAUAUAUCAGUUUUACACUCUGCAGAGGUGUGCAUGUUCACUCCAAGUCAUGAUUCCCAUUUGCCCGGGGUCAUGACUCCCCAAAACACUGCCAAGGUGAGCAGGCAUGGUCUCACUACGAGACCUUUCACAGGGUCCAACUAAUAGGAUGCCACUCGCAAGUUUUUGCCGGGGCGCUCGGGAGUCGAUACCCAGAGCCAUGGCGUACCGAUCAACCGACAACUUAAUAUUCAUUACCCAAGUUACUUCCUCACGCCUACCCGGAAAGUAACACCCUACUAGUGGAGGUCCUGCUAAUUAGUCAAGCCAGAGCCAUAUAGCUUGGAGCUGCACUAUAUGUCCCAGGGGGCCGCUCCCUGACUAAGUCCUUAUGGAGAGCAGAGACGGGUACGCCCGGCAAACCGGACCACCAACAGUACCCGCUCCCCCUGUCACCACCAUCAUCACGAUGCUCGUAAGCAUCCAACAUCGCCAUCACCGCAGUGACCAAAAGUUCAGCACAGUUUAAGCAUCAAGUUGAGUAGAGAUUAUUACUUGUUUAGGCAUGUGUAUAAGAUGAGUAGAGCAGCUAAGCAAACCUAGUAUAGCCUAGACUACCCAUAUACAUAACCCCAGGUGAACAAGGAAUAGUAAGUAAAGCUAGUCAUGUCCUUAGGGUUUGCAUUCAUUGGACACAUGCAUGUAAAGUAAAUGACAUUAAUGAGUAGGUUCAAAAUGAUCAAACGGUGUCUGCACUUGCCUUUAUUCCCAGUGUAUAUCUGCUCAGAAUUCUUUGGCUUCUUUCUUCUAAUCUUCAACUUCUGCUUCGACUGUCGGUCCUUAGCUCCUCGUCUUCACUAUUGACGAACCACGCUCCUUCUACUCGUAGCAACCAAGUAACACAAACAGACAAACAACAAUCACGACUAAGAACAAGCAUCAAUCAAAAGAAAAGCUUUAAAAAAAGAAGAGCGCAAUAAACGACACGGCUUAUUGUUAUAAUUGUGACAACAUAAGAAAGAUUGAGAACGGAGCUAUCGUUAAACGGACACGACUAUUGGGGCUUGCAACAAAACAGAGAGAAGACAGACUAUACGUUGGUCGUAUUUUAUUAGAUGAAAUAAUAUGACAGACAUUUAAUAGAACUAUCCUAAUUAGAUUAACCAAAUUAUGUUGAAUUAUAAAAGCCGGAGUUAAAUUUUAGUUAUAUUUUAAUUGUAGAUGGUUAUAUAUCCUUUAAGCCAUUUACGCCUUUGUAAUUUUAGAAAACAUAAAGCAAGUAAGAGCAGCUAAUCAAAUCCUAACAUGCGUCGCAUUUAUAUUAAACAAGUUAUAACUAAUAAAGAACCAUUUAAGUUGAUAUUAAUAAUGUUAACAUUUAUUUAUUUAUAAAAGAUCUAAAUUAUAAACAUAGGUUAUUUUUAAUCCAAAAAGACAUUAAAUAAAUAUUAAACAAAUUAAUUCUAUACUUUAUGUCUAACUAAAAGAAUUAUAAUUAAUAAAUAUUUAAGUUAACUUCAAUCAAGUUAAUAUUAGAUUGUAAAAAUAGCGAAGUGUAAACCUAAAUUGUUUUUUGUUAAUUAAAAAAUGACAUUCAAAAAAAUAUUAAUUAAACUAAUUAUAUUUAUAAACAUGGGACAUGGAAAACAGUAUCGCUAAUAAGUCAUUUACGUUGCCAUGGUCAUAAAACAAUAGAAAACAUGAUUAUAACUCUAUAUUGCUUUUAAUUAUAAAAUUAGGUGCAUAUAUUAAUUAAUCUAAUAUUCAAUUAAAUAUGGAAAAAAAUAUAUGACAUAAUAAAAGUUAGCACUACUGCGUAGAGCGCGACGUUACGAAACUAACGCAAUUGAAACGGAAUGAAACAGAGUUAGAACGAUUAAAUGGCGAAGGAUUAAUAACCAGUGGCAAACUUGUAAAUAUGUCUUCUUCUACCUUAAACUCUCGUACCACCACAGCCAUGGCAACAUGCUGGUUGCUGCACACGGUGGGGAAGGGAGAUGGGGCCUCGUCCUGCGGCAGUAGGCGGCUAGUCGGAGGUGCCAGACCGUUGCGGAUUCAGGCCACGUGGAGUUGGGCUGGUCCGCAUGACCUUGCAAGGACCGGCGGCGGCCUGCCUGCUCGAGCAGCACCCGCUGCUCCAGCUUGCGGGGCAGGGGCUAGGGCGAGGGUCGGCGGGAGGGUGGCCAGCAG
rnacentral:lncRNA from 1 species